CCGGCUCUAGGGGACAUGUUGGAGAGG
rnacentral:piRNA from 1 species